rnacentral:rRNA from 1 species
UAGAGUUUGAUCCUGGCUCAGAACGAACGCUGGCGGCAGGCUUAACACAUGCAAGUCGAGCGCCCCGCAAGGGGAGCGGCAGACGGGUGAGUAACGCGUGGGAAUCUACCCUUUUCUACGGAAUAACGCAGGGAAACUUGUGCUAAUACCGUAUAAGCCCUUUGGGGGAAAGAUUUAUCGGGAAAGGAUGAGCCCGCGUUGGAUUAGCUAGUUGGUGGGGUAAAGGCCUACCAAGGCGACGAUCCAUAGCUGGUCUGAGAGGAUGAUCAGCCACAUUGGGACUGAGACACGGCCCAAACUCCUACGGGAGGCAGCAGUGGGGAAUAUUGGACAAUGGGCGCAAGCCUGAUCCAGCCAUGCCGCGUGAGUGAUGAAGGCCCUAGGGUUGUAAAGCUCUUUCACCGGUGAAGAUAAUGACGGUAACCGGAGAAGAAGCCCCGGCUAACUUCGUGCCAGCAGCCCCGGUCAA